AGUGGCUACCCCAGUGAAGAAAAUCACAGUCUUUACCUUAGCAAGGAUUGCUAAAGACCUGCUCAUGAACUCAUGGAGCCUCAUGAACUCCCAGGCAUGGUUGGAUACUGAUGACCUCAAUCACUGCUGUGAUGAGUUGGAACAUAUUAUUGUCCAAGAUAAAAGAUGCCUAUUAUAGACUUUGAAGAGGAAAACUGUUGGAAUGUCAAGAAAAUAAAUUUCCUUCUUUGACUGCUUGACAGAUGCUAAGGAAGUUCUUGUCAUAUUGUCUAAGAUCAUUUAUCCUGUCUACCAAGAGGAAAUUAAAUACUAUUCCACAACAAUAGAG